UACAUAGGGGGCUAGCGUUGUCCGGAAUCAUUGGGCGUAAAGAGCGUGUAGGCGGCCCGGUAAGUCCGCUGUGAAAGUCGGGGGCUCAACCCUCGAAAGCCGGUGGAUACUGUCGGGCUAGAGUGCGGAAGAGGCGAGUGGAAUUCCUGGUGUAGCGGUGAAAUGCGCAGAUAUCAGGAGGAACACCGAUUGCGAAGGCAGCUCGCUGGGACGUAACUGACGCUGAGACGCGAAAGCGUGGGGAGCAAACAGG
rnacentral:rRNA from 1 species